AAAAAGACAAACCCUGGGUUUCCGUGUCUAACGUUUGACUGUCCGUCUUAUAUGAAUUUUUUUUAUAAUUAGUAUUUUCAUUAUUGUUAGAUGAUAAAACAUGAUUAAUACUUUAUGCGUGACUUAUCUUUUUAAUUUUUUUUUAUAAUUUUUUCAAAUAAGACGGACGGUCAAACGUUGGGCACGGAAACACAGGGUUUAUCUUUUU
rfam:Oryza glumipatula chromosome 9, whole genome shotgun sequence.